GAAAACUGAGUGAUAGGAAUCUGGCUGCCACUGAUAAUAUAUUAAAGGGCCGCGGUAUUUUGACCGUGCGAAGGUAGCAUAAUCAUUAGUCUCUUAACUGGAGGCUUGUAUGAAUGGUUGGACAAAAAGUUAACUGUCUCGUUUAUAAUAAUUGAAUUUAACUUUUAAGUGAAAAGGCUUAAAUAAACUGGGGGGACGAUAAGACCCUAUAAAGCUUUACAAUAAUUUAAUUAAAUUAUAAAUUAUUAGUUUAACUUAAUUUAAUUAAUAAUUGUUUCGUUGGGGCGACGAGAAUAUAAAUUAUAUAACUGUUCUUUUAAAAAUUUAACAAAUUUAAUUGGAUGAAAAUUGAUCCUUUAAUAAAGAUUAAAAGAUUAAGUUACUUUAGGGAUAACAGCGUAAUCUUCUUUGAGAGUCCAUAUCGACAAGAAGGGUUGCGACCUCGAUGUUGAAUUAAGGUAUCCUUACAAUGCAGCAGUUGUAAAGGAAGGUCUGUUCGACCUUUAAAUCCUUACGUGAUCUGAUUCAGACCGGA
rnacentral:rRNA from 1 species